rnacentral:rRNA from 1 species
GAUGAACGCUAGCUACAGGCCUAACACAUGCAAGUCGAGGGGCAGCGGGAAGGAAGCUUGCUUUCUUCGCCGGCGACCGGCGCACGGGUGCGUAACGCGUAUCGAACCUACCCUUUACUCGGGGAACAGCCUUGCGAAAGCAAGAUUAAUGCCCGAUGUUCCGCGUUUGCCGCAUGGCAAAUUCGGCAAAGAUUUAUUGGUAAAGGAUGGCGAUGCGUCCCAUUAGUUAGUUGGCGGGGUAACGGCCCACCAAGGCGACGAUGCGUAGGGGUUCUGAGAGGAAGGUCCCCCACACUGGUACUGAGACACGGACCAGACUCCUACGGGAGGCAGCAGUGAGGAAUAUUGGUCAAUGGGCGCAGGCCUGAACCAGCCAAGUCGCGUGAGGGAAGACGGUCCUACGGAUUGUAAACCUCUUUUGUCGGGGAGUAACGUGCGGGACGCGUCCCGUAUUGAGAGUACCCGAAGAAAAAGCAUCGGCUAACUCCGUG